CACAUUUCCGAAAUUAUCCUUUUGCUGGCGGUACGAUAAUCGAACAAAAUGACGGAAGGUGCAGUUACAAUUAGAACUAGAAAGUUCAUGAGCAAUCGGUUACUAUGCCGAAAACAAAUGGUUGUAGAUGUAUUUCAUCCAGGUCAUCCAUCAGUUCGAAAAACAGAAAUACGUGAAAAACUAGCUAAAAUGUACAAAGUUACACCAGAUGUAGUUUUUGUAUUUGGUUUUCAAACUAAUUUUGGUGGUGGUAAAUCAACUGGAUUUGCAUUAAUUUAUGAUACAUUAGACUUUGCAAAAAAAUUUGAACCUAAAUAUAGGUUAGCUAGGCAUGGAUUAUUUGAAAAACAAAAACAAACAAGAAAGCAACGUAAAGAACGUAAAAACAGAAUGAAGAAGGUUAGAGGUACAAAGAAGAGUAAAGUUGGAGCUGCAUCUAAGAAGGGAAAGAAGUAGUCAAAUGCUCAUCAUUUGUACUACAAGUCUCAAGAGGGAACUUAAUUAUGAUGCUCAUAUAUAUGUAAAACAUCACGAAGACCACAAUUUGUUCAACAUGGACGUAAAAAUUAUUAUAAUAAUUUAUUAUCACAGAUAAUUAUGAUAAGUUUUACGGAAUAAAAGUGUACUCUUUUUGAUGAAAAAAAA